CCUACGGGAGGCUGCAGUGAGGAAUAUUGGUCAAUGGACGGAAGUCUGAACCAGCCAUGCCGCGUGCAGGAAGACGGCUCUAUGAGUUGUAAACUGCUUUUGUACAAGGGUACACCUGAAUACGUGUAUUCAGCUGAAAGUACUGUACGCAUACGGAUCGGCUAACUCCGUGCCAGCAGCCGCGGUAAUCCGGAGGAUCCAAGAGUUAUCCGGAUUUAUUGGGUUUAAAGGGUGAGUAGGCGGAGUGAUACGUUGGAGGUGAAAUGUCCGAGCUUAACUCGGGAACUGCCUCUAAUACUGUUGAGCUAGAGAGUAGGUGCGGUAGGCGGAAUGUAUGGUGUAGCGGUGAAAUGCUUAGAGAUCAUACAGAACACCGAUUGCGAAGGCAGCUUACCAAUCUAUAUCUGACGUUGAGGCACGAAAGCGUGGGGAGCAAACAGGAUUAGAUACCCGGGUAGUC
rnacentral:rRNA from 1 species